rnacentral:rRNA from 1 species
AUAAUCUCUAGAUUUCUAUUAGCUAUCUAGAGCAAAGAUUUAUCGCCUUAAGAGGGGUCUGCGGCCUAUCAGCUAGUUGGUGGGGUAAAAGCCUACCAAGGCUACGACGGGUAGCUGGUCUGAGAGGAUGAUCAGCCACAGGGGAACUGAGACACGGUCCCCACUCCUACGGGAGGCAGCAGUUGGGAAUAUUGCGCAAUGGGCGAAAGCCUGACGCAGCGACGCCGCGUGAAGGAAGAAGCCCCUAGGGGUGUAAACUUCUUUUGUUUGGGAGGAUUAUGACAUUACCAAACGAAUAAGUGACGGCUAACUACGUGCCAGAAGCCUCGGUGGUACGUAGGUCACAAGCAUUAUCCGGAAUUAUUGGGCGUAAAGCGUGUCUAGGUGGUUUUGAAAGUUUUCUGUUAAAUGUUCAGGCUCAACCUGAAAAUCGCAGGAAAUACUUCAAGACUAGAGGUCAGUAGAGGUGUAUAGAACUUUCGGUGUAGGAGUGAAAUCCGUUGAUAUCGAAAGGAAUACCAAUGGCGAAGGCAGUACACUAGACUGAUUCUGACACUCAAGCACGAAAGCGUGGGGAGCGAAAAGGAUUAGAUACCCUUGUAGUCCACGCCGUAAACGAUGCAGACUGGUUGUUGGGAGUAUCGACCCUCCUAGCAGCGAAGCUAACGCGUUAAGUCUGCCGCCUGGGAAGUACGGUCGCAAGACUAAAACUCAAAGGAAUUGACGGGGGCUUGCACAAGCGGUGGAGCAUGUGGUUUAAUUCGACAAUAAGCGAAGAACCUUACCAGGACUUGACAUCCCGAUCAUACCCUGCAGAAAUGUGGGGGUCAGUUCGGCUGGAUCGGUGACAGGUGCUGCACGGUUGUCGUCAGUUCGUGCCGUGAGGCGUUCCGUUAAGUCGGCUAACGAACGAAACCCUUAUCGCUAGUUGUAUUUUUCUAGUGAGACUGCCUCGGUUAACGGGGAGGAAGGUGAGGAUGACGUCAAAUCAGCGUGGCUCUUACGUCCUGGGCUACACACGUGCUACAAUGGUGAUUACAAAGGGUCGCAAUACCGUAAGGUGGAGCCAAUCCCUAAAAAUCAUCCCAGUUCGGAUUGAGGGCUGCAACUCGCCCUCAUGAAGCUGGAAUCGCUAGUAAUCGUGGGUCAGCUAUACCACGGUGAAUACGUUCUCAAGCCUUGUACACACCGCCCGUCAAGCGAGACGAGUCGGCAAUGCCCGAAGUCCAGC